rfam:Cavia porcellus supercont2_13 genomic scaffold, whole genome shotgun sequence.
AAUAGAGUCAUAGGGGUUAUGGGGUUGGCUUGAAACCAACUUUAGGGGGUUCAAUUCCUUCCUCUCUUG